UGCUAUACAUGCAAGUCGAACGAACGGAGGAAGAGCUUGCUCUUCCAAUGUUAGUGGCGGACGGGUGAGUAACACGUGGGCAACCUGCCUGUAAGUUGGGGAUAACUCCGGGAAACCGGGGCUAAUACCGAAUGAUAAGAUGUGGCGCAUGCCACGCCUUUGAAAGAUGGUUUCGGCUAUCGCUUACAGAUGGGCCCGCGGUGCAUUAGCUAGUUGGUAGGGUAAUGGCCUACCAAGGCAACGAUGCAUAGCCGACCUGAGAGGGUGAUCGGCCACACUGGGACUGAGACACGGCCCAGACUCCUACGGGAGGCAGCAGUAGGGAAUCUUCCGCAAUGGACGAAAGUCUGACGGAGCAACGCCGCGUGUAUGAAGAAGGUUUUCGGAUCGUAAAGUACUGUUGUUAGAGAAGAACAAGGAUAAGAGUAACUGCUUGUCCCUUGACGGUAUCUAACCAGAAAGCCACGGCUAACUACGUGCCAGCAGCCGCGGUAAUACGUAGGUGGCAAGCGUUGUCCGGAUUUAUUGGGCGUAAAGCGCGCGCAGGCGGUCUUUUAAGUCUGAUGUGAAAGCCCCCGGCUUAACCGGGGAGGGUCAUUGGAAACUGGAAGACUGGAGUGCAGAGAGGAGAGUGGAUUCCA
rnacentral:rRNA from 1 species